CCUACGGGAGGCAGCAGUGGGGAAUUUUGGACAAUGGGGGAAACCCUGAUCCAGCCAUGCCGCGUGCAGGAUGAAGGCCUUCGGGUUGUAAACUGCUUCUGUACGGAACGAAAAGUCUCUUCCUAAUACGAAGGGGUGAUGACGGUACCGUAAGAAUAAGCACCGGCUAACUACGUGCCAGCAGCCGCGGUAAUACGUAGGGUGCAAGCSUUAAUCGGAAUUACUGGGCGUAAAGCGUGCGCAGGCGGUUAUGUAAGACAGAGGUGAAAUCCCCGGGCUCAACCUGGGAACUGCCUUUGUGACUGCAUAGCUGGAGUACGGCAGAGGGGGAUGGAAUUCCGCGUGUAGCAAGUGAAAUGCGUAGAUAUGCGGAGGAACACCGAUGGCGAAGGCAAUCCCCUGGGCCUGUACUGACGCUCAUGCACGAAAGCGUGGGGGAGCAAACAGGAUUAGAUACCCUGGUAGUCCACGCCCUAAACGAAUGUCAACUGGUUGUUGGGUCCUUAACUGACUCAGUAACGAAGCUAACGCGUGAAGUUGACCGCCUGGGGAGUACGGCCGCAAGGUUGAAACUCAAAGGAAUUGACGG
rnacentral:rRNA from 1 species